rnacentral:lncRNA from 1 species
CUAGUGCCUUGUUGUAUGUUCAAAUUUCCUCUUCUUAUCAGGACACCAGUCACAGUGGAUUAAGGUCCACCCUAGAGGCCUCAUUUUAACUUAAGGGCCCUAUCUCAAAUAUAGUCACAUUCUGAGAUACUGCGAGUUAGGGCUUCAGCACAGGGGGUAGAAAAUUUUGGGGGGUACAAAAGAUACUAUGUAGCAAGGUCUUUCCACUCUGGCUGGUGGGACCACCAUCUAGCACAACCAGAAGGACCUACAACUAGAAUAUACAACUAUGUACUGGGCUGCUUUGGAGGGAAGGAGAAGGAAAACAAAAGAUGAUUGGCACAGAUGUUAGCCUAAGUGCCAGUCUUUAAAAAAAAGGAGAUGAAAUUAGGGUGGGCCCUAAUCCAGCGUGACUGGUAUCCUUAUGACAAGAGGAGACUGAGACACAGACACAUGGAGUGACACAGAGGGAAGACCGUAUGAAGACACGUGAAGAAGACGGUCCCCUAGAAGCCAUGAGGAGAGGCCUGCAGAAGAAACCAAUGCCGAUCGUGAACCUUGGUCUUGAACUUCUAGCCUCCAGAAUUGGGAGGAAAUAAAUAGCUGUUGUUUAAGUCACCCAGUCAGUGCUACUUUGUUAUGGCAGCGCUAGCAAACUAAUACAAGGUUUUAUCAGUUAAAUGCUAGAGUGAAGAGAGCUUGCUAGGCAAGCCUGGGGCCUGUGGGAAGAGACCCAAAAGGCCAGGAGGAGACAGAGGGGUAGUGAGGAAGAAUUAGAAAUUAGAAUAAUUAGAAUUAGAAUAUUAGAAUAAGAAGAAUUAUAAAUGCUUUACCUAAAUGUCAAAGAAUAGCCAAUUCCCAGGUGCCAGAUCUCUGUACAAAGAACUCCAGCUCCUUCUCUAACUUUAUAAAAUGGCAGUGGUGCACAGUACCUGGAUGGCUGUCCUAAGUUUUGUCAUUUUGCUUUCUCAUCAAAUAUCAGCCCUGUCAAGAGGCUUCCUCCAAAACCAGAACUACAUUCUGACUGGUCAGUUUUUUCCUGCCUCUUUCACCUCGUUGUGGCUGUUUCCAUAUAAAGCCAAAGAACAGGUCAAUUCUGUCCAGUCAGUUGGGAAAAUAGAUCAGUCAGAUCGGUUGGUAACAUCCAGGUACAAUUGUAGACAUUGUCCUAAAAAGAGUCUUUGUUUUCUUCCAUCCCCCUUUCCUUUAGGAGUUAAAGCUUUUUUUUUUUUUUU